UAGUCAACUCGGUCUUCUGUUUUCCUUUCCAUUUGCAGUCUUCAUUCGAAAGUAAUGGUACUCUUCCAUCAACCAGCGGCCAUCAAUGGUAGAAUUAAGUAAUUUCAAUACCACAUUGGUUAAAGAAAAGGGGAACUGUUCUUGAAGACUGCCUAAAUGCAGAAUGAAAUUACAGAAAUGACUAACAACAGUGAAGAACAACAGACCUCAUCUUCCUCCGAGGGGACCAUCAUAUAGAGGUGGUAAUUCAGCCACCAACAACAGAGGCCAAGGUUGAAUGUGAUGCUCCCCCCGCUGUGAUCACCACUCAGCCAGCACAGCCAAUGCUUGAAUACGAUGACAGCAUUGCUGUGGUCAUGUGGGAAGCCACCGUUACUGGUCGACGCCUCAUCGACGAGAUGGUCAACCUGGGAUCAGUCUACGUGGCACAGGAAGAGAAAGCAGAAGGGCACGAUUUCAACGAGUACGUCAUGGAUCAUUUUACGUGGCACAGGAAGAGAAAAGCAGAAGGGCACGAUUUCAAUGAGUACGUCAUGCCGUAUGGCAAGCUACCGCUGAAUGUAAUUCGCAACUACAAUCUUCGCAUCGUUGACACGGGUCGUUACCGCAUGCUCAAGGAGAUCCGCAACAACAGAAUGCUCAAGUCCAAGAGCAAGGUGGCCGCCUGCAACGAUUUCGCCUCGUGGUUCAUCAAGCUCCGAAAAGAUAAUUUCACCGACAAGAAAAUUGUCUUAGUCUUCUUUUAACCACGCCACUCCCAAGAUCCUUCAGCUCUUCCAGGCUUUGGAACGUUACCGUCUUCUUGAUGAUGUCAACAAGAUUUUGCUUGGAUGUGUUAAUGGCUGGGAUCUGCUCCGUCAACAGGUGCAUGAUUUGAAGGAUGAACAUCGCAUGGUCCUUAAAGCUUUGGCUGAUCAUCACCUUGGAGUCGACACACCUUUGGAGAGCGCUGUUCAACGUGCUCAAUCUAGCACUUCACAAGAUCCUUCGCAAGGUGCAUGGCGGCCGCAUCAACACUGGGGUACAUAAGGAGAACCUUAUCAGUUGCGAUCAUUUGCUCGAACAAGUCAAGAAGAUCAAAGAAGAAUUGACUAAGGAGGCUCAAUGGAGACCUGUAUUCGCUGACAUGUUUCGUCAAGAUAUUAAGCCUCGCCGGCGAGCUGGAUUCCUCCGCCAUAUGCUCGUCGAGUCGGGCAUCACCUAUGCAGGCCUUACGGAAACAUUCAAGGACAAAAAGAUGACGGUGUGGUCGAGGUCAUCAAAGAGAACAUCAAAGGCAAGAAUGAAGCCGACGUGGAGGAAGUCAGCAAGCUGCUGAAUCAACACCUUGCGCAGCCAGACAAGCCCGUCCGACGCGGUAGCGGCCGUCGAACACCCCGCACUCGUUCCCUUUGCACCGCCACGGACUUGGAGAAGCAGCAGCCUGCGUCCAAGAUCGAGCCCGAGGAAAACAACAACGACCCUGUCAAGAUUAUGGAUUAUGGAUGUUAUUCCCAGCACUCCUGCGGUCCGAAGUUUAAAAAGUCCCUCUCUCCUCGACCCGCCUGAAAUUACUUACUGCCUCCCGCCCCACUUCCCUUUUGUUUUUCACUUAACUUGUCUCGUUUUUGAGAAAUUUUGAUCUUUUUUUAAGUUUACAAGUCUUUCAGGAAACAAACUUGAUGUCGCUUUUGGUUAUGCUUUUCUUUUUACCAGAGAUAACCCUUGCAAAAUUUAUAAAUAUACCAGUGAGCUUUUUGGUAAUUGUUCUAGUCUUCUACUAAAAUCAAUCCAGGUUGUAUGUGUGCGAUGAAAUUGUCUCUGCAGUGCCUUUGCAGUGCCUUUCAUACUUGUGAGUUGAUCUCAUGGAAUGGAAUACAAAAUACUCUGAGGAAA
rnacentral:lncRNA from 1 species